rnacentral:tRNA from 1 species
GCCGGGAUGUUGGAAUUUGGUAGACAAGCUAGAUUCAGGAUCUAGUGGGCGUUUUUGCCCGUAGGGGUUCGAGUCCCCUUCCCGGCA